rnacentral:rRNA from 1 species
UACGAAGGGGGCUAGCGUUGUUCGGAAUCACUAGGGCGUAAAGCGCACGCAGGCGGAUCGUUAAGUCAGGGGUGGAAAUCCCGAAGGCUCAACCUCGGAACUGCCUUUGAUACUGGCGAUCUUUGAGUCCGGGAGAGGUGGAGUGGAACUCCGAGUGUAGAGGUGAAAUUCGUAGAUAUUCGCAAGAACACCAGUCGGCGAGGG